rnacentral:rRNA from 1 species
UGGGGAAUAUUGCACAAUGGGCGCAAGCCUGAUGCAGCCAUGCCGCGUGUGUGAAGAAGGCCUUCGGGUUGUAAAGCACUUUCAGCGAGGAGGAAGGUGGUGAGCUUAAUACGCUCAUCAAUUGACGUUACUCGCAGAAGAAGCACCGGCUAACUCCGUGCCAGCAGCCGCGGUAAUACGGAGGGUGCAAGCGUUAAUCGGAAUUACUGGGCGUAAAGCGCACGCAGGCGGUUUGUUAAGUCAGAUGUGAAAUCCCCGGGCUCAACCUGGGAACUGCAUUUGAAACUGGCAAGCUAGAGUCUCGUAGAGGGGGGUAGAAUUCCAGGUGUAGCGGUGAAAUGCGUAGAGAUCUGGAGGAAUACCGGUGGCGAAGGCGGCCCCCUGGACGAAGACUGACGCUCAGGUGCGAAAGCGUGGGGCAGCAAACAGGAUUAGAUACCCUGGUAGUCCACGCUGUAAAACGAUGUCGAUUUGGAGGUUGUGCCCUUGAGGCGUGGCUUCCGGAGCUAACGCGUUAAAUCGACCGCCUGGGGAGUACGGCCGCAAGGUUAAAACUUAAAGGAAUUGACGGGGUC